UCAUAUGACUUUGGGCUUGUUAGUCUUCAAUUUUACCCGGCUGGAUUCACAUCAGCCUCUCAGCGUGCAACCUCUCAACGACGGUGUUUCGAACGGGACGGGGUUGAAGAAACAAAGGAACAGAGCCCGAAGCUUUGCGGAAGAAGCAGUGAAACAAUCCCAGGAUAACAAAGCUUCCAAGCAUUUGCCCCAACAUUAUUUCAGAAACGACGUCGAUCUCAACACUUUUGGCAUCACCGAAGAGUUGAGGGAAUUCAUCAGAAGGAUCACCAUCGACACCUUUGAAUAUUUCCCCCUUUAAGAUAGAAGAAGUUGAAGAAUCUGUCUAGGUUUGCCUUGUAGUUUUUGCUUCUUUCAUCAAACUGGUCUACUCCAAAAGAUGACACGCAUGGCCUUAUCCCUGCUGCUCCGAACAUUGUGAUGUAUAGAACCGUGUAGAGAAAAAAAAAUCUAUGAAUCCUUAUUCCAACCAGAAGUGGA